CAGCAGUGGGGAAUAUUGGGCAAUGGGCGAAAGCCUGACCCAGCAACGCCGCGUGAAGGAAGAAGGUCUUCGGAUUGUAAACUUCUUUUAUCAGGGACGAAGGAAGUGACGGUACCUGAUGAAUAAGCCACGGCUAACUACGUGCCAGCAGCCGCGGUAAUACGUAGGUGGCGAGCGUUAUCCGGAUUUACUGGGUGUAAAGGGCGCGUAGGCGGGGAUACAAGUCAGGUGUGAAAUCUAUGGGCUUAACCCAUAAACUGCACUUGAAACUGUGUCUCUUGAGUGUCGGAGAGGUAGACGGAAUUCCUAGUGUAGCGGUGAAAUGCGUAGAUAUUAGGAGGAACACCAGUGGCGAAGGCGGUCUACUGGACGAUAACUGACGCUGAGGCGCGAAAGCGUGGGGAGCAAACAGGAUUAGA
rnacentral:rRNA from 1 species